UACGUAGGGUGCAAGCGUUGUCCGGAAUUAUUGGGCGUAAAGAGCUCGUAGGCGGUUUGUCGCGUCGAAUGUGAAAACCCGGGGCUCAACCCCGGGCCUGCAUUCGAUACGGGCAGACUAGAGUUCGGUAGGGGAGUCUGGAAUUCCUGGUGUAGCGGUGAAAUGCGCAGAUAUCUGGAGGAACACCGGUGGCGAAGGCGGCAUCCUGGACCGGCAUUGACGCUGAGGCGCGAAAGCCAGGGGAGCAAACGGG
rnacentral:rRNA from 1 species